rnacentral:rRNA from 1 species
UAGUCCACGCCGUAAACGAUGGGUACUAGAUGUUGUGAGAUAGACCCUCACAGUGUCGCAGCUAACGCGUUAAGUACCCCGCCUGGGAAGUACGGCCGCAAGGUUAAAACUCAAAGGAAUUGACGGGGGCCCGCACAAGCGGUGGAGCAUGUGGUUUAAUUCGAUGCAACGCGAGGAACCUUACCUGGGUUUGACAUCCCUGGACCGCUCUAGAGAUAGAGUUUUCACUUCGGUGACCAGGAGACAGGUGCUGCAUGGCUGUCGUCAGCUCGUAUCGUGAGAUGUCGGGUUAAGUCCCUUAACGAGCGCAACCCCUAUCCUUAGUUGCCAUCAUUUAGUUGGGCACUCUAAGGAGACUGCCGGUGUUAAACCGGAGGAAGGUGGGGAUGACGUCAAGUCCUCAUGGCCUUUAUAUCCAGGGCGACACACGUGCUACAAUGGCUGGUACAGAGGGUUGCCAACCCGCGAGGGGGAGCUAAUCUCAGAAAGCCAGUCUCAGUUCGGAUUGGAGUCUGCAA